rnacentral:lncRNA from 7 species
AAUAGAUACGUGUACAGUCUGUAAAAGCAAACAAGUUGUACAAUUUUUCCCCUCCAAGAAGCCAUUCUUGACUGCUUUGUGGCAACAAAGGGCUCAGCCCAGCCUCCUCUGCUGUGUAUUUAUGAUGCUCGGCGAAGCUGUAUUAUUGCAAACGUCUCGAGAAAUGUGUUCCCUGUAAAUCGUGUUGUACUGCUGAACUGAGUUGGGCCAUUCCCUCCCUCGAUCCAUUGGCACCAUGCGAGCACCUGCCCCCACCGGCCCCAGGAAGCUCCUGCUGGCAGCAGGCAGGGCACCCCAAGCUGCCAAAAGCUGCUGCUGUAAAGGCUUUCCCUCCCCUUCCCCUGGGAGGGAUGUGCUGGCAGCAUCCCCUUGCUUUGGAAAUGGAUCCCUGCAGUGCAACCCACGGUACCGGCUGACACGGUGGCUCUGCUCUGCUACCCACGGCCAGAAGAACCACCCAGCGCCUUUAUUCCCCCCCUGCCCCGGGUGCACGUUGCAUCCUGGAGGUCUCACUCAUGCCUGCAGGAGCAAAGCCCCGGCCUCCUCCUCACCGGCCACAUCAGCUGAUGCUCCCACCAGAACAUUCCCCUCUGCCUCCCCUCGCAGUUACGGUGCAGCAAACACCAGAAGGCUGUGGCGGUGCUUCUUGCUGAUCCCUGCCCACAACCCAGCUGCCAACCUGGACUCGGACGUGUGGCACCCAGCCGGCUCCGUAUCAUCCUUUGCUUUGUGAGUAUCAAUGUGUUAGGUGCAAGUGUUGCAGCUAAAGAGCAAUAGUAACUUAUGAAGACCGCAACCGCUUCGCCACCAUCAGCCAGCAACGAACUAUUUUCUGCUGCUCUUUCCUGACUGUGAAGACCAGGUUUUUCAAAAAGGGCUGCAACGAAACAGCUUCAGCCAGGCUGAAACUCUGCUUUACUGCUUGUUGGGAAGCACUGUCAGGUACGGACCAAACCAAACACUUCCCUGGCAUUGUGGUGAGUCGUUGUGUCGCUUAGCUCUGGAUCAGCUGAAGCACUGCAAAGGGGAGAGUGUGGAAAUGUUGGUGCAUCUGUUGGUGUUGUCGGUUCUGUACUUAUCAUGGAAAAAGGGCCGUGGAAAACGCUCGCUGUCCUGCCCAAAUCCCAAGAAAGCCGCAUGGUCCUCCCCGCGUGCAUCGGCUGCCCCGCAUUUCACUGAAGACCUUUUGCUGGACGCCGCUCCUUGGCACAACCUCUGUGCUGUGGGAGGUGUUACACAGAGCUCCGCCUCCAGGAAGCCCACACAUGGAGACUCACAGCCCCCAUACUCUUCAGGGGCAGCUUCGUUCCAUCCUGCUGUUGCGUCCUCACCUUUUUGGGAUGAGCCACGCACGCGCUCAGCCGGCAGAGCCUCCUCUCGCCCUACAGCUGCACAGCACCACGGGGGCACCGCACAGGGCUUUCUCCCACAAGUACACUUCUUUUUUGAGCUGCUCAGUCUGAACAACACCUUCUACACGUCAACACCAACGCUUCAUUGGCACUCAGAAUGGCCCGAGAAGAGCCCUAAAUGCAGACAGGCCUAACGUUCCUUCCAGCCUAAAGUGAAGGCUUCCCCCAGCGGUCAUGGAGGAGGGCUCGUGUGCCCACUGAUCUUGCCAACUGGUUGUGAUGUGCUGUGUUUUGAUACUGUGGAUUUUUUCCUCUCUCACUCUCUCUUUUUUUUUUUUUUUUUUUUAAGUUAAAUAUAUUCUAUUGCU